rnacentral:rRNA from 1 species
UACGUAGGGUGCAGGCGUUAAUCGGAAUUACUGGGCGUAAAGCGUGCGCAGGCGGUUUCUUAAGUCGGAUGUGAAAUCCCCAGGCUUAACCUGGGAACUGCAUCCGAUACUGGAUGGCUUGAAUCCGGGAGAGGGAUGCAGAAUUCCAGGUGUAGCGGUGAAAUGCGUAGAUAUCUGGAGGAAUACCGGUGGCGAAGGCGGCAUCCUGGACCGGCAUUGACGCUGAUGAGCGAAAGCUAGGGGAGCAAACGGG